rnacentral:lncRNA from 1 species
UUACAUUGAACAAUAGUCACGUGACUUCAAUCAUAUGCAUUCUUUCUUCAACUCAACCACUCUAAAUAACAGCAUUUAAAAAAUCUAUCACACAACUACCAGGAAAUUUCUUUUAUCACCACCAUCAUAGCACCUAAAUUAAGGUUCUUGGUUCAACAUGACCAACAACUUCUUGCCUUCAAGACCGCAGUUCGGAUUCACCAUCAAUUGUAAGUGUUUCUCAAAAAUCACUCAUUGAUUUUUACCUUGUUAAAAGAAAAAAGUCGCAAAAAAUAAAAUAAAAUAA